rnacentral:rRNA from 1 species
UUAUUUAAUGGCCGCGGUAUUUUGACCGUGCAAAGGUAGCAUAAUCAUUAGUUUAUUAAUUGUUAACUUGUAUGAAUGGUUUGACGAAACAUUUACUUUAUUUUUUAUAUAAGUUGAAUUUAAAUAUUAAGUUAAAAUGCUUAAAUCUUUUUAUUAGACGAGAAGACCCUAUAGAUCUUUAUUAUGUAUUUUUUAGAUUUGUUUAGUUUAAUUAUUUUUUUUUAAAUAUUUAAUUUGGUUGGGGUGACAUUGGAAUAUCUUUAACUUCUAAUUUUUUUUUACAAUUAUUUUUGGUUAGUUGAAAUUGUUUUAUUAUUUUAAGAUUAGAUACCUUAGGGAUAACAGCGUAAUUUCUUUUGAGAGUUCUUAUUGACAUGGAAUAUUGCGACCUCGAUGUUGGAUUAAGAUUAUUAUUAGGUGUAGGUGCUUGAUUUAAUAGGUCUGUUCGACCUUUGAAAUCUUACAUGAUCUGAGUC